AAGAGAGGUGGAAAUCCAUUUGAAUGUGAUACAAAAGAUAGAAAUCAGCCAUGGAAUAUUCCAGAAUAUGAGUCCCUCGAUUUCCUUGAUGACAAAGGAAAUGAAACUAUCGACUCUGAUUCGCCUUUUACCUCUCACUCCGAGUUGUUUGAGAAUAACAAACAUUUUUAUUCUGAUAAAGGGGUCACCGAUCACGAGCUUUCUGAAUUGACAGUUUGCUAUCGAGAGAACAACUUUAACAUAGUUAAAGAUAUAUGUAUGGAUGAGGGUGUACCUGCA
rnacentral:misc_RNA from 1 species